AUUCUUUUAGUACAACCUAAUACAAGUGACUUCCAAUUACUAAAUCUUAAUCAAGCCUUAAGAAAGAAUA
rnacentral:tRNA from 1 species